rnacentral:rRNA from 1 species
GAUCAUGGCUCAGGAUGAACGCUAGCGACAGGCUUAACACAUGCAAGUCGAGGGGCAGCGAGGGAGUGGCAACACUUCCGUCGGCGACCGGCGCACGGGUGAGUAACGCGUAUGCAACCUGCCCUUCACAGGGGGAUAACCGGGAGAAAUUCCGACUAAUACCGCAUACGUCCUCCGGGGGCAUCCCCGGGGGAUGAAAGAAUUAUCGGUGAAGGAUGGGCAUGCGUGAUAUUAGGUAGUUGGCGGGCG